AGGAACAUGUCCAGAGGUGGGGGACAACCCCGGGAAACUGGGGCUAAUACCGCAUAUCGGCUGAGGCCGAAAGCAGUGAUGCGCCUUUGGAGUGGCCUGCGUCCGAUUAGGUAGUUGGUGGGGUAAAGGCCUACCAAGCCUGCGAUCGGUAGCUGGUCUGAGAGGACGACCAGCCACACUGGGACUGAGACACGGCCCAGACUCCUACGGGAGGCAGCAGUGGGGAAUAUUGGACAAUGGGGGCAACCCUGAUCCAGCAAUGCCGCGUGGGUGAAGAAGGUCUUCGGAUCGUAAAGCCCUUUCGGCGGGGACGAUGAUGACGGUACCCGCAGAAGAGGCCCCGGCUAACUUCGUGCCAGCAGCCGCGGUAAUACGAAGGGGGCUAGCGUUGCUCGGAAUUACUGGGCGUAAAGGGCGCGUAGGCGGCUUGCCAAGUCAGGCGUGAAAUUCCUGGGCUCAACCUGGGGACUGCGCUUGAUACUGGCUGAGCUUGAGGAUGGAAGAGGCUCGUGGAAUUCCCAGU
rnacentral:rRNA from 1 species